GGCGGCAGGCCUAACACAUGCAAGUCGAGCGGAAACGACACUAACAAUCCUUCGGGUGCGUNAAUGGGCGUCGAGCGGCGGACGGGUGAGUAAUGCCUAGGAAAUUGCCUUGAUGUGGGGGAUAACCAUUGGAAACGAUGGCUAAUACCGCAUAAUGCCUACGGGCCAAAGAGGGGGAUCUUCGGACCUCUCGCNUCAAGAUAUGCCUAGGUGGGAUUAGCUAGUUGGUGAGGUAAUGGCUCACCAAGGCGACGAUCCCUAGCUGGUCUGAGAGGAUGAUCAGCCACACUGGAACUGAGACACGGUCCAGACUCCUACGGGAGGCAGCAGUGGGGAAUAUUGCACAAUGGGCGAAAGCCUGAUGCAGCCAUGCCGCGUGUAUGAAGAAGGCCUUCGGGUUGUAAAGUACUUUCAGUUGUGAGGAAGGGUGUGUAGUUAAUAGCUGCGCAUCUUGACGUUAGCAACAGAAGAAGCACCGGCUAACUCCGUGCCAGCAGCCGCGGUAAUACGGAGGGUGCGAGCGUUAAUCGGAAUUACUGGGCGUAAAGCGCAUGCAGGUGGUUCAUUAAGUCAGAUGUGAAAGCCCGGGGCUCAACCUCGGAACUGCAUUUGAAACUGGUGAACUAGAGUGCUGUAGAGGGGGGUAGAAUUUCAGGUGUAGCCGGUGAAAUGCGUANAGAUCUGAAGGGAAUACCAGUGGCGAAANGCGGGCCCCCUGGGACAGGCCACUUGACACUUAANAUGCCNAAAAGCGUGGGGGAGCAAAANAGGAUUAGAUACCCUUGGUAGUNCCACCCCGUAAAACCNAUGUUCUUCUUUGG
rnacentral:rRNA from 1 species